rnacentral:rRNA from 1 species
UGGGGAAUAUUGGACAAUGGGCGCAAGCCUGAUCCAGCCAUGCCGCGUGUGUGAAGAAGGCCUUCGGGUUGUAAAGCACUUUUGUCCGGAAAGAAAGCGAAUCGGCGAAUACCCGGUUUGGAUGACGGUACCGGAAGAAUAAGCACCGGCUAACUUCGUGCCAGCAGCCGCGGUAAUACGAAGGGUGCAAGCGUUACUCGGAAUUACUGGGCGUAAAGCGUGCGUAGGCGGGAUAAAAAGUCAGUGGUGAAAUCCUACAGCUUAACUGUAGAACUGCCUUUGAUACUUUUAUUCUUGAGUUCGGGAGAGAGAGACGGAAUUCCAGGUGUAGUGGUGAAAUACGUAGAUAUCUGGAAGAACACCAGUUGCGAAGGCGGUCUCUUGGUCCGACACUGACGCCGAGGCGCGAAAGCGUGGGGAGCAAACA